rnacentral:rRNA from 1 species
GAGUAACGAUAAAGGGGGUGAAAAACCCCCUCGCCAGAAGUCCAAGGUUUCCUACGCAACGUUAAUCGGCGUAGGGUUAGUCGGCCCCUAAGGCGAGGCAGAAAUGCGUAGUCGAUGGGAAACGGGUUAAUAUUCCCGUACUUCAUAUAACUGCGAUGGGAAGACGGAGAAGGUUAGCUCAGCAAGGCGAUGGUUGUCCUUGUUCAAGCGUGUAGAAAUGGUUCUUAGGAAAAUCCGGGAACCUCUAUUUCAAGGCGUGAUAACGAUCCCUCUUUUGGGAGAAGUGAGUGAUACCAUGCUUCCAGGAAAAUCCUCUAAGCUUCAGGUUAUAUGAAACCGUACCCCAAACCGACACAGGUGGACGAGAUGAGAAUUCUAAGGCGCUUGAGAGAACUCGGGUGAAGGAACUAGGCAAAAUGACACCGUAACUUCGGGAGAAGGUGUGCUCUUUGUAUGUGAAAUCACUCGCUGAUAGAGCGGAAGAGAGUUGAAAAUACUAGGUGGCUGCGACUGUUUAUUAAAAACACAGCACUCUGCAAACACGUAAGUGGACGUAUAGGGUGUGACGCCUGCCCGGUGCUUGAAGGUUAAUUGAUGAGGUUAGCGCUUGCGCGAAGCUUUUGAUCGAAGCCCAAGUAAACGGCGGCCGUAACUAUAACGGUCCUAAGGUAGCGAAAUUCCUUGUCGGGUAAGUUCCGACCUGCACGAAUGGCGUAACGACGGCCACACUGUCUCCACCCGAGACUCAGUGAAAUUGAAAUUGCUGUUAAGAUGCAGUAUACCCGCGGCCAGACGGAAAGACCCCGUGCACCUUUACUACAGCUUUACAUUGAACUCUGAUCCUACUUGUGUAGGAUAGGUGGGAGGCUUUGAAGCUCUAACGCUAGUUAGAGUGGAGCCACCCUUGAAAUACCACCCUGGUAUGGUUGGGGUUCUAACCUAGGUCCGUAAUCCGGAUCGGGGACAAUGUAUGGUGGGUAGUUUGACUGGGGCGGUCUCCUCCUAAAGAGUAACGGAGGAGCGCAAAGGUAUCCUCAGCACGGUCGGACAUCGUGCAAUGAGCGCAAAGGUAAAAGGAUGCUUGACUGCGAGACUGACACGUCGAGCAGGUAGGAAACUAGGUCUUAGUGAUCCGGUGGUUCUGAGUGGAAGGACCAUCGCUCAACGGAUAAAAGGUACGCCGGGGAUAACAGGCUGAUACCCCCCAAGAGUUCACAUCGACGGGGGUGUUUGGCACCUCGAUGUCGGCUCAUCACAUCCUGGGGCUGAAGCAGGUCCCAAGGGUAUGGCUGUUCGCCAUUUAAAGUGGUACGCGAGCUGGGUUUAGAACGUCGUGAGACAGUUCGGUCCCUAUCUACCGUGGGCGUUGGAGACUUGAGGGAAGCUGUUCUUAGUACGAGAGGACCGGAAUGGACACACCUCUGGUGUUUCGGUUGUGACGCCAGUCGCAUUGCCGAGUAGCUAUGUGUGGAAAGGAUAACCGCUGAAAGCAUCUAAGCGGGAAGCCCCUCCCAAGAUUAGGUCUCCCUGAUUAUUUAAUAAUCCUAAAGAUCCCUCGAAGACUACGAGGUUGAUAGGCUAGGUGUGGAAGUACAGCAAUGUAUGAAGCUAACUAGUACUAAUUGAUCGUGAGGCUUGACCAU